rnacentral:misc_RNA from 1 species
UCAACCUCAAUGGGACGCGUCAAGACUUAUGAAGGAGUAGCGAAUGCUGAUUACGCCUGUGCAUUCUCCCGUGACUGUCAUCCGUCGUGCUUUUCCCCCUUUGCCCCUUGCUAAGCGCGUUAUCGUGGCAAAUUGCACGCGCGAGUCAGGUUGCGCCGACCACGCCGACAACCUCCACGUGCUGCUGAGCAACACUCAGCCGCCCCAAAUUGUAGGUCGCCGCCGUCGGUUCGCGAAGAACGGAAGGCGGUGGCGAAGCGGGGAUAGGUGGUGCGGAUGAGACGAGUAGGCGAUAGUGCGACGACGGGCGAGGGGAGGAUUGAUGCGAAGAGGAGAGGUGGGAAACGGAUUGCGCGCUCGUGCGUAUGCGCCUUGGCUGUGAUCGGUGCGACCGAGGAGGUAAACAUUGUACAGUACGAUUGGCCGGCCCCGAGGCGGCGGGUCUUUUGCUUUUUCGUCUUGACCCGUCUCUUACGGGAAGAAGAGGAAAGGUGCGACUUCUUUUCUUUCUUUCCGAGUUUAUGCGAUCUCUCGUGUGAGUUCCUCCAGUUCUUCUUUGAGGAUCAUUGGAUCAAAAUCGGAAUUUUAUGAAUCACUCCUUCCGGAUAAUUGGAUCCAAAUCAGAAUUUCACGAAUCACUCGCCAUUAUCGUUGCCACAAAUCCUCCUCCGGAUAUCGCUGAAACGAAAGAUGAUAACCAGUGUUCAGAUUUUGGAUUACACUAAGAUGUAACGUGACAGGUUACACCCUAGGUUGCAGGAGAUGGCAUCUCUUCAUAUAUAUAUAAGGGGAAGAUGCUACUUUUGCAAGGUAAUGUGAUGAGAUUGAAUGUCAUCUCUCUAAAAUGCUCAGAGACAAUGUAAAAUACAUAUAAAGACAAGAAGAUUGAAGUGGUAAACUAAAAAGAAAGGGAGCAUAACAGGGAGAAAAUAAAGUAGAGGGAAGAGAAAGUGGAGAGAGGGGAAAUAAAUAGAGAAAGAAUGCAGUUAAGAAGGAAGAGAUUGAAUGAUAUAUGAACAUCAAUUUCUUGUUAUACGAAGAUUCGCAAUCUAAAAUUUUCACCUCGUUCCAUCUGAAAUUGUGGUCAAAAUUAAUACGAUCAGUUAUGACAGUAGGAGAACCAGUAUUCUUCUUAAUGUCAGAGAUAUGUUCGUAUAAUCUCGUACUUAAUUUUCUUUUUGUCUGACCAACAUAACUCGCUUCACAAUCAUCACAGAAGAUCUUAUACAUUCUGAUUGGAUAGAAAAUCUGGCUUAUCUUUUCCUCUUUUUAUAAAACUUUUUAAUGUGUUAGGGAUAGAAAAAGCUAGUUUACAAUAGAACAUACUGGAAAUAGGGAGAAAACUUUCGGAAAUAGAUUUGACAGAAGAUAAAUGAGAGAGGAUAACAAUUAUUUAAAAAAGUAUGAAUAGCAUCUAUCAGAUUUUUUUGUUGGAACCGGAUGUGAUAAGAGGAUAAUUUUGUCUAUGAAGCUGAUAAUAGUGCCUUUUUUAUGGCAAAGAGGAUGAUUUGAAUGGAAAUUAAGGAACCUUCCCGAAAACGUCUUUUUAUGAUAAAUGUCAAAUAUAAUUCUCUGAUUAUGUAUAACAAGCAUAAUAUCAAGAAAACUCAAUCUGCCAACCUCUAAAGUAAACUGCAAUCUCCUCUUGCAUUACAAUAUACGAAGCCAAAAUAAAUUCAGAAUUAAAAACAGUACCAUUUAAAUGCUCAACCAAAUGGAAACAGUCUUUAAUGUGACUAGGAGCUUUUGGUAUGCUAUCAUUAAUUAUAUUAUGUAAAAAAAGAGAAAGAUAAUAUAAUGGACUAUUAACAGAGGAUACAAUCGCUCUCAAUGAGUUGCCGUCUUUAUGUAUUUUGGUCAAAUCGUAAGCUCUAGGUAUAACACCAUCAGUUGUAAGCAAUCUCCGAUAUAUUUGUUCGUCAAUAAACCGAUCACGCUUCCAUCUCACCAGCAAUAUAAUAAACGGAUUCGUUGAAGGAAAAAAUCUAGUUCUUUUGAAGCGAUCCAUUCAUCAAGCCAUUUUUUAAUACCUUCAUAACAAUUGAAUCGCUCUCUAGAAUGACCGACUGCAUGAACCGAAACAAAUCAGAAGGAGCAAUGUCGGGUGAAUAUGGCGGGUGAGG